UCUCUCCUCCCGCCUGGGCACCUCUGCUCCUUUGCAGGCACCUCUGUCUUUCCCCCUGGGGGGCACUGUCCUCAGCAGACGACCUUGCCAGCCUCACUCACCCCUCGGUUCUCGGUUCCUCUCACCUGGAGGUAAGCCUCACACAAGGUGCAAGAUCAGAAAACCCUACAAACGCCAAAAGAAUCCGGAUCUGACUUCAGUGGGGAAAUCUCACCGGGCUACCUUUGAAAAUCACACCGCAGACCGUGUCACUGCCUUUCUGAACGUCGCUGGUUUUCGCCCUAACGACCUCUCCGAAGAAUCCGUCCUGAGUGUACAGAGCCCUGAAGUGGCCCGUGUGAACAUAGCACAGUUGGCCAUUGGAAGGAUUCAACCUUUCUUUAAAAGCCAGCGUCCCUGGGGUGUGAGUUGUGGGGAGGGGACCAGAGGGUCUGUCGGGUGGUAUGUUCAUAAGGCGUGCAUGUGAUGAUUCGAUACAGGUAGAUGGUGAAAUGAGCACCACAACGCAGUGAAUUAGCACGCGCAUCACCUCACACUUCUCUGUGUGUGUUGGGCGUGCCCACUCGAGGUCUACUUUCUCAGCAAAUUCCCGUAUGCACGACACUAUCAUGAAGUGUAAUUGCCUUGCUGUGCGUUAGAGUAAGUCCCCAGGGCUUCUUCAACCGAUCGAUGAACAUUUCUGUCGCUGCCCAAGGUCGCCCCCAGCUCACAACGCAGCCCCUUGCGAUCGGCACCGUGCCCUCGGCUUCUAUGAGUUUAACUUUGCUUCACGUUCCAUAUACAGCUGAGAAGUUACAAUAUUUGCCCUCCUCUGCCUGGCUUACCUCUCAGCGUAAUGCCCUCAAGGUCCACCCGUGUUGUCUCAGAAGGCAGCAUUGCCUUCUUUUUAAGAAAGAAUUGUGUUCCUUUGUAUGGGCCUUCUACAUCAUCUUUACCGAUUCAGCCACCACCACACCCUCCCUCGAUGGCCUUGAGAAGGUGAUGCUUAGCUAACUCCGCAGAGGGAGAAUGCCCUGAAGAAGAGCAAAUAACGUUUCUCUUCAAUAUACAGUAAAGCCUCCGUUUCCAAGGAUAAUUCAUUCUGGAUCAUGCUUGUACUCCAAAGCAUUCGUACAUCAAAACGAAUUUCAAGAACCAUUGGCCCGUUGUGAUUGUGUGACAUUCGGCGUCAUGUGCUACUCACAUCGCAAGAUGUCGGCCAUUUACCAAGUUAAAGUUUUCUUUUAAUUUUUUUUUUUUUUUUGAAAGAGAGAG